UGUAAGCGUAUACCAAAGUUGUUGCAGUUAAAACGCUCGUAGUCGGAUUUUGGCGUGGUACUUCUGAGACCCCUGAUUGGGCGUUGAAGGUAGUCCCGCCUUUGUGGAUGAGGGCGUGGCGGUGAUUUAUUUCAUUGCUGCGUUUUCGCCACUGUUUACUGUGAAAAAAUUAGAGUGUUCAAAGCGAGCGAUUGCCAUGAAUAUAUUAGCAUGGAAUAAUAGAAUAGGACCUGAUCCUGUUUUGUUGGUUUGUCAGUAUUGGGUAAUGAUUAAGAGGGACGGUCGGGGGCAUUUGUAUUCCAGGGUUAGAGGUGAAAUUCUUGGAUCCUUGGAAGACAAACAGCUGCGAAAGCGUCUGCCAAGGACGUUUUCAUUGA
rnacentral:rRNA from 1 species